rnacentral:rRNA from 1 species
AUGAACGUUGGCGGUGUGUCUAAUACAUGCAAGUCGAGCGAAAUCAGGGGCAACUCUGGUUUAGCGGCAAACGGGUGCGUAAUACGUUGGAACCUGCCUCAAACUCAGGGAUAACUCCGCGAAAGCGGAGCUAAUACCGGAUGGUCCUGCAAAGGUAAAGACGCAAGUCGGUUUGAGAGGGUCCUGCGGCCUAUCAGCUUGUUGGUGAGGUAACGGCUCACCAAGGCUAUGACGGGUAGCUGGUCUGAGAGGAUGGCCAGCCACAAUGGGACUGAGACACGGCCCAUACUCCUACGGGAGGCAGCAGUAAAGAAUAUUUCGCAAUGGCCGAAAGGCUGACGAAGCGACACCGCGUGAAGGAUGAAGUUCUUUUGGACGUAAACUUCUUUUCUGAGGGAAUAAUCUUGAAGGUACCUCAGGAAUAAGCACCGGCUAACCACGU